GUUAAGAUUGUGGGCUACAACCAUGUAAGGCGAGUCUAGGAAUGUAAAUUUACACUGUCUGCUGAUGACUUGAGACUUGCCAGAAAUUUCUGCAAUGAAACAAAAGAUUUGCAACCUGCUUUUCCAAGGCAAAACAGUACUUAAGCCCAGGACUCAGUCUCUCAACUCUGAAGGACUGCUCCAAAGAGGGACCGAGGCUCUGGUCAAAGUACAAGAAAGUGUCUCCCAGCUUCUGUGGACAACUAGAGGCCUUGUGCCCUGCCUCGUGGAGAAUGCUGUCGACCACGUGGAGGAUCAAGCUGGGUGAAGGAGUGACAAGGACUCACCCAUCUCACAGGACAGAACGAGGAAGACA